CGCCUGUUUAUCAAAAACAUGUCUUUUUGAUUAAUAAUUUAAAGUCUGGUCUGCCCACUGAUUUAUUAUAAUUAAAGGGCUGCAGUAUCUUGACUGUACAAAGGUAGCAUAAUCAUUAGUCUUUUAAUUGAUGACUUGUAUGAAUGAUCGGAUAAGAUAUAAGCUGUCUCUUAAUAAAUUUAUAGAAUUUAAUUUUUUAUUUAAAAAGUUAAAAUAAUUUUAAAAGACGAGAAGACCCUAUAGAGUUUAAUAAAUUUUAUAAAUUAAAAUUUUAUGUAUAAAUUUGAUUAAAAAUUAUAUAUUUAUUUUAUUGGGGUGAUAAAAAAAUUAAUUAACUUUUUUUAAAAUUAACAUAAAUAAAUGAGUAUUUGAUCCAAUUUUUUUUGGAUUAUAAGAAUAAAUUACCUUAGGGAUAACAGCGUAAUUUUUUUUUUUAGUUCUUAUAAAAAAAAAAGUUUGCGACCUCGAUGUUGGAUUAAGAUAAAAUUUAAAUGCAAAAGUUUAAAAUUUUGAUCUGUUCGAUCAUUAAAAUCUUACAUGAUCUGAGUUCAAACCGGAG
rnacentral:rRNA from 1 species